AUGAGUGCAAGGCUGCUCUGCUGUGUAGCACUUUGUCUCCUUGGGACAGGCUCUUUUGAUGCUAAAGUAGUACAGAGUCCUAGACAUCUGGUCAAAGAGAAAGGACAGAAAGCAAAUAUGGAUUGUUUCCCUGAAAAGGGGCAUACUGCCUUUUACUGGUAUCAUCAGAGCCAAAAAGAAUUUAAACUUUUGAUUAACUUCCGGAAUGAAGAAAUUAUGGAACAAACAGACAUGGCCAAGAAGCGAUUCUCCGCUAAGUGUCCCUCAAACUCACCCUGCAGCCUGGAAAUCCAGUCCUCUGAGGCAGGAGACUCAGGGUUGUAUUUCUGUGCCAGCAGUCAGUACACAGCACUGCAAUGUGCGUUCCCCUCAGUGCACAAACCCCAUUGUGGACAGACCUCAGGAAGCAGGUGA